rnacentral:lncRNA from 1 species
UUGAGACUUGGGGAUACCAGGGGGUAAGCACCCCUUCCCUGCCUGCCUCUGCUCCCUUCCCUUGCCUGUAGCCAGGGGGUGCACAGCGAUGCCAGCCCUUGCCCACGCUGUCCCUGCAGGAAUGCCCUAGGGCAGGUCCCUGUGCACCAUGCCCUGCAGCAUGGGGGGGUACGGUCACAUUCUGCCCCAGCCCCACGUGCUGCAUCUGCCCCUGCUGGGGCUGCGCUGCUUGGAAGGUGCUGAGUGUGACAUUCCUCUGUCCGCCCGGGUCCGGAGCGGUGCUUUUCCAGCCGCACUGGGUUUUGGUUUCUAUGUGCCUUGCUGAAAGCCGU